GGGACAUAAGGAUAGAGGUCCUGUGCAGCGUUUGGACGCCCGCGAGGUUCCUCUCCUUCCUGCUGAGAGCCGACACCAUCCCAGCGCACGAGACGGUGGACCAUCACGCGCGCUACGGCGCGGCACGGUACGUGCAGGAAGCCAGCACAGAAAAAGCGGUACAUACCUGUACGACGACGUAGGGCUUGCUGUUAGGCUCGCAUGGGUCGCCGGGCAGGAUCUGCCAGUGGUCGAACACGCACUGGGGGAAGGCCUGGCCGCCGGUGUUGGAGCGCAGGUCGGCGGUGAAGCCGAACGACUCGUUUACGGGCAGGUAUGCCUUCACCACGAACAUGGGCGUGCCCGCCACUUGCGACUCCUCGAAUACGUGACCGCGCCGUCUGUUCAGCACACCAUAGAUACCGCCCACCGCCACCUCGGGACACUGU